GGUUGAUCCUGCCAGUAGUCAUAUGCUUGUCUCAAAGAUUAAGCCAUGCAUGUUUAAGUAUAAGCUGUAUUUUAUACCGGUGAAACUGCGAAUGGCUCAAUACAUCAGUUAUAAUUUCCUUGAUGGUGAGUGUACUACUCGGAUACCCGUAGUAAUUCUAGAGCUAAUACGUGCGUACAAGGUUUAUUGUUCCUUUUGGGAGCAGUAGAUCCGUAUUUAUCAGAUCUUUUGAACCAACGAUAUGUGGUGAAUCAUGAUAACUGUUCGAAUUGUUUUUUCGGAAACAAUAUUU
rnacentral:rRNA from 1 species